rnacentral:rRNA from 1 species
UNUUACCAGAAAGGGACGGCUAANUACGUGCCAGCAGCCGCGGUAAUACGUAGGUCCCGAGCGUUGUCCGGAUUUAUUGGGCGUAAAGCGAGCGCAGGCGGUUAGAUAAGUNUGAAGUUAAAGGCUGUGGCUUAACCAUAGUACGCUUUGGAAACUGUUUAACUUGAGUGCAGAAGGGGAGAGUGGAAUUCCAUGUGUAGCGGUGAAAUGCGUAGAUAUAUGGAGGAACACCGGUGGCGAAAGCGGCUCUNUGAUCUGUAACUGACGCUGAGGCUCGAAAGCGUGGGGAGCGAACAGGAUUAGAUACCCUGGUAGUCCACGCCGUAAACGAUGAGUGCUAGGUGUUAGGCCCAUUCCGGGGCUUAGUGCCGCAGCUAACGCAUUAAGCACUCCGCCUGGGGAGUACGACCGCAAGGUUGAAACUCAAAGGAAUUGACGGGGGCCCGCACAAGCGGUGGAGCAUGUGGUUUAAUUCGAAGCAACGCGAAGAACCUUACCAGGUCUUGACAUCCCGAUGCCCGCUCUAGAGAUAGAGUUUUACUUCGGUACAUCGGUGACAGGUGGUGCAUGGUUGUCGUCAGCUCGUGUCGUGAGAUGUUGGGUUAAGUCCCGCAACGAGCGCAACCCUUAUUGUUAGUUGCCAUCAUUCAGUUGGGCACUCUAGCGAGACUGCCGGUAAUAAACCGGAGGAAGGUGGGGAUGACGUCAAAUCAUCAUGCCCCUUAUGACCUGGGCUACACACGUGCUACAAUGGCUGGUACAACGAGUCGCAAGUCGGUGACGGCAAGCUAAUCUCUUAAAGCCAGUCUCAGUUCGGAUUGUAGGCUGCAACUCGCCUACAUGAAGUCGGAAUCGCUAGUAAUCGCGGAUCAGCACGCCGCGGUGAAUACGUUCCCGGGCCUUGUACACACCGCCCGUCACACCACGAGAGUUUGUAACGCCCGAAGUCGGUGAGGUAACC